UAAGGUAGCGAAAUUCCUUGUCGGGUAAGUUCCGACCUGCACGAAUGGCGUAAUGAUGGCCAGGCUGUCUCCACCCGAGACUCAGUGAAAUUGAACUCGCUGUGAAGAUGCAGUGUACCCGCGGCAAGACGGAAAGACCCCGUGAACCUUUACUAUAGCUUGACACUGAACAUUGAGCCUUGAUGUGUAGGAUAGGUGGGAGGCUUUGAAGCGUGGACGCCAGUCUGCGUGGAGCCAACCUUGAAAUACCACCCUUUAAUGUUUGAUGUUCUAACGUUGGCCCCUGACCGGGGUUGCGGACAGUGUCUGGUGGGUAGUUUGACUGGGGCGGUCUCCUCCCAAAGCGUAACGGAGGAGCACGAAGGUUAGCUAAUCCUGGUCGGACAUCAGGAGGUUAGUGCAAUGGCAUAAGCUAGCUUGACUGCGAGCGUGACGGCGCGAGCAGGUGCGAAAGCAGGUCAUAGUGAUCCGGUGGUUCUGAAUGGAAGGGCCAUCGCUCAACGGAUAAAAGGUACUCCGGGGAUAACAGGCUGAUACCGCCCAAGAGUUCAUAUCGACGGCGGUGUUUGGCACCUCGAUGUCGGCUCAUCACAUCCUGGGGCUGAAGUAGGUCCCAAGGGUAUGGCUGUUCGCCAUUUAAAGUGGUACGCGAGCUGGGUUUAGAACGUCGUGAGACAGUUCGGUCCCUAUCUGCCGUGGGCGCUGGAGAAUUGAGGGGGGCUGCUCCUAGUACGAGAGGACCGGAGUGGACGCAUCACUGGUGUUCGGGUUGUCAUGCCAAUGGCACUGCCCGGUAGCUAAAUGCGGAAGAGAUAAGUGCUGAAAGCAUCUAAGCACGAAACUUGCCCCGAGAUGAGUUCUCCCUGAGACUAUAAGUCUCCUGAAGGAACGUUAAAGACGAUGACGUUGAUAGGCCGGGUGUGUAAGCGCAGCGAUGCGUUGAGCUAACCGGUACUAAUGAACCGUGAGGCUUAACCUU
rnacentral:rRNA from 1 species